CGACAGUCACUUCAGAAUCUCAGUCAAAACAUGAUAUAUAACAACUGUAACUCCUACCUCAUUUUCUGCGUAUUAUCUUCAGUAUUUAUGUAUGAUGAUUUGUCUUACAAUAAAGCAGCCUCACAAUCAAGACGAGUAUCAUGGCUGUUUCCUGAUGUUAGUAAUGCUAGAAAUGCCGUUGAUAGAAAUGCAUUAUCGUGUACGAAGACGAAUGAAAUAGGACGCAACUCUCCAGACAAGACUGUAUGGUGGAAGGUGGAUCUUGGUGGAGUGUACAACAUUUACAGCGUUAACAUUAUAUUUAAGAACUACGAAGGAUAUGAAUGUGUAAUAGGAUGGUACGGUGAAAAUUGCAAUCGUCGUUGUGCUGGACAUUGCAAAGACGGAACUACUUGUAAUCACGUGACUGGUCAAUGUAACGAAGGCUGUGAUACUGGGUGGACAGGAUCUAUGUGUGACAAAGCUUGCCAACCUGGUAAUUAUGGUAAAAACUGUUCCCGUGCGUGUUCGCCUAACUGCAAGACUUGUCGACACAAAGAUAUUCUAUGUUCCUGUAAGGCAGGCUGGAUGGGUGAUAAUUGUACAACAGAAUGUAUCGGGUCCUAUGGAGAAAACUGUCAGUAUCCGUGCAGUGUACACUGCAUCAACCAGACUUGUGACCAAUUCAAUGGAAACUGUCUGUGUGAUGGCAAAUAUGAUAACCAGUGGAAUGUUGAGAGGACAGAUUUACCAACUCAUCCAUUGUGGAUGGUUGCAUUCCUAGUAUCAUUCAUCAUCAACAUCAUAUUCAUCUCUGCUACGUUGAUGAGUCGACGGAAAAACAUCUUGAAACAGAAAUCGACAACGGUGGAUAAAUCUAAAAUUUCUAGGAGCUCUGUGUCCAACACAGAACAAAAUGAUCCCGCCAAUACUGCAUCUAACUACCAAGAGCUCUGUGUAUCAGAGAACGAAAACAACUACCAAACUCUACAUCAAUACUAACCUUUCAAAAGUUUAAACCUGUGCUAUUCACUAAAUUUAACUGAGUGUACAACUGCACAACUACACGCAUGUCACCCAGUUACCGUUCACUUAUAUUACACUGAAAUUUUGCUGAAAUUCUCCAAAUAUUAUAAUCAUGUCUUUCAAAUCAAUAUGUGCAAAGACGGUGCGUUCUUUGAUCUUAAUGUUAUUUAUUUUAAGAAAAGUCUGUUGAGGACACUGAGAGUAUUUCUCAAAUUGUGUAAGAAAAUACCUUUAAUACAUCGGAUAUGCACAACUUGCCGUUCCGAUGUUUACUUUUUUAAGAAAUAUGAAAAGAAGUAAAGAUGUACCACAC
rnacentral:sRNA from 1 species